AAUUGUAUGUUUUGCGCGAUGUUCUAUCAAAUACUAUUAGCUACUACACGACGUUUUCCGGUUUCAAACUCUGUAUUUACACGAAUCGCUAUAAUUGCAGAAAAUGCACACGUUCGAUUAUCCAAUGGAAUUUAGUUAUUACCGCGUUUGUAUUUAUUCAUCUCGAACACGUAGUUUAUAUUAAAACGGCGCAACGGGCGCGUGGCUGCCUCCGUCCUCAUUAUGCUUGGACGUCUUUCGUGUUAUUCGUUCGUGUUCUUUUAUUUUUUCUCCGACGUUUUCUGGAGACGUUGAGAUUCCGUCCACCCCGGACAAGCGUACGAAAAGCGCAAAUUCUUGCGUUUGGCGAGUUUCACUUUUCCUCGGUUUCGUAAACAAUAGUCCGGUCC